UCCCUGGUGGUCUAGUGGUUAGGAUUUGGCGCUCUCACCGCCAGGGUCCAGGUUCCGAUUCCCGGUCAGGGAA